rnacentral:lncRNA from 1 species
UCCCACAUCAUGUGUUUAAAGAGAAAGCAGAAAAGGGGAUAAAUUGAAAACCAAUCCCCAGCAGGCUAGAGACCCCCAACAGGCAACUUUGCCCGCCAACCAAUUAUGGGGACAAAGAGCAAGAAAAGGGGAAGAGAGAAAAAUUGCUCGCCAGAAAGGCACCCUCUACCACCACGAUUAAAACUGAUUAAAUCCUUUUGUCUGUUGCAGGAGAACAAAGAAUUAAUGAUGGCAGCAAGAUGCAACGCCAUGGAAGUCACCAAAAACCGGGGCAGAAAAUUUUCUGCCGAUUGUCGAAAAUUUUCUCGAAAAACGGGGAAGCAAUUUCAAUACUUUCAAGUUCUAGGUCGCCCACCAGUAUAAUGCGGGAAUACAUUUAAGUUCUAGGUCGCCCACCAGUAUAAUGCGGGAAUACAUUUAAGUUCUAGGUCGCCCACCAGUAUAAUGCGGGAAUACAUUUAUGUUCUAGGUCGCCCACCAGUAUAAUGCGGGAAUACAUUUAAGUUCUAGGUCGCCCACCGGUGUAAUGCGGGAA